rnacentral:rRNA from 1 species
UAAUACGGAGGGUGCAAGCGUUAUCCGGAUUUAUUGGGUUUAAAGGGUGCGCAGGCGGGCCGAUAAGUCAGUGGUGAAAUCCCGGGGCUCAACCCCGGAACUGCCAUUGAUACUGCCGGUCUUGAAUACGGUUGACGUAGGUGGAAUGUAGCAUGUAGCGGUGAAAUGCAUAGAGAUGCUACAGAACACCGAUCGCGAAGGCGGCUUACUAAACCGAUAUUGACGCUCAGGCACGAAAGCGUGGGGAGCAAACAGGAUUAGAUACCCUGGUAGUCCACGCCGUAAACUAUGAUCACUCGUUGUUGGCAAUACACAGUCAGUGACCAAGCGAAAGCGAUAAGUGAUCCACCUGGGGAGUACGAUCGCAAGGUUG